rnacentral:rRNA from 1 species
AAUGAACGUUGGCGGCGUGGAUUAGGCAUGCAAGUCGAGCGAGAACCCAGCAAUGGGGGACAGCGGCGCAAGGGACAGUAAUGUGUAGAUUAUCUGCCCUCGGGUCCGGGAUAGCUGCGGGAAACUGCAGGUAAUACCGGAUAACAUCUUCGGAUCAAAGGUGUGAUUCCGCCCGAGGAUGAGUCUGCAUCCUAUUAGCUAGUUGGCAGGGUAAUGGCCUACCAAGGCGAUGAUGGGUAGCGGGUGUGAGAGCACGACCCGCGUCAUUGGGACUGAGACACUGCCCAGACACCUACGGGUGGCUGCAGUCGAGAAUCUUCGGCAAUGGGCGCAAGCCUGACCGAGCGACGCCGCGUGGGGAUGAAGGCCUUCGGGUUGUAAACCACUGUCAGAGGGGAUGAAAUGCAGGUGGGUUCUCCCAUCUGUUUGACAUAGCCUCAGAGGAAGGACGGGCUAAGUUCGUGCCAGCCGCCGCAGUAAGAC